rnacentral:lncRNA from 1 species
UGGAAAGCACAAAAGAAGCACCUUAAGGGGACAGCUCCAGGAGGGCUGCCAGGUCCUGGGGUUUUAGGGUCCCUCCUGAAGACACUGCCCUUGACCCCAGAGUCUCCUGAAAGAGAUCAGCAGUGCCGUUGGGGUGAGGGAAGGGUACAUCUUGGUUUUCUGUCUGAACAUUUGGAAUUGAAGAAGUCCUUGUUUGGUUACCUGGAGGCUGAUGGUGGCUGAGAAGGAGCUGUGAUGUCUGGGGCUUGGUGCGGUUACUCAUUGCGGUGGAGAUUCUCAGAACGCAGCAACCGAGGAAUCUGGGUCCCCGAGUCUGCAUGAAGAAUCAGAUGCUGCUUGCCGGAGUUUCUUCAUGGCUGCUGCUCCCCGAAGU